rnacentral:rRNA from 1 species
AGUGAACGCUGGCGGCGUGCUUAACACAUGCAAGUCGAACGAGAACGGGUUAUAGCUUGCUAUAAUUGUCAGCUAGUGGCGCACGGGUGAGUAAUGUAUAGGUAAUAUGCCUCUUACUAAGGGAUAACAAAUGGAAACGUUUGCUAAUACCUUAUACUCCUUAUUAACAGAAGUUAAUAAGGGAAAGAUUUAUUGGUAAGAGAUUAGCCUGCAUUGUAUCAGUUAGUUGGUGAGGUAAUGGCUUACCAAGACUAUGACACAUAACUGGUUUGAGAGGAUGAUCAGACACACUGGAACUGAGACACGGUCCAGACUCGUACGGGAGGCAGCAGUGGGGAAUAUUGCACAAUGGACGAAAGUCUGAUGCAGCAACGCCGCGUGGAGGAUGACACAUUUCGGUGCGUAAACUACUUUUAUAUGAGAAGAUAAUGACGGUAUUAUAUGAAUAAGCACCGGCUAACUCCGUGCCAGCCGCCGCAGUAA